rnacentral:rRNA from 1 species
GACGUAGGAGGCGAGCGUUAUCCGGAUUCACUGGGCGUAAAGCGCAUGUAGGCGGUUCGUUAAGUCCGCUGUUAAAGCCCCCGGCUCAACUGGGGGAGGUCAGUGGAGACUAUCGGACUUGAGGGCAACAGAGGCACGUGGAACUCCCGGUGUGGCGGUGGAAUGCGUAGAGAUCGGGAAGAACACCAGUGGCGAAGGCGACGUGCUGGGUUGCGACUGACGCUGAGAUGCGAAAGUGUGGGGAGCAAACGGG